rnacentral:misc_RNA from 1 species
GAUGAAGAACGUAGCGAAAUGCGAUAAGUAAUGUGAAUUGCAGAAUUCAGUGAAUCAUCGAAUCUUUGAACGCACAUUGCGCCCGCCAGUAUUCUGGCGGGCAUGCCUGUUCGAGCGUCAUUUCUACCAUCAAGCCCCCGGGCUUGUGUUGGGGACCUGCGGCUGCCGCAGGCCCUGAAAACCAGUGGCGGGCUCGCUAGUCACUCCGAGCGUAGUAGUUACAUCUCGCUCAGGGCGUGCUGCGGGUUCCGGCCGUUAAAAGCCUUUUACCCCAAGGUUGACCUCGGAUCAGGUAGGAAGACCCGCUGAACUUAAGCAUAUCAAUAAGCGGAGGA